rnacentral:rRNA from 1 species
CGGCAGCGCGAGAGAGCUUGCUCUCUUGGCGGCGAGUGGCGGACGGGUGAGUAAUAUAUCGGAACGUGCCCAGUAGCGGGGGAUAACUACUCGAAAGAGUGGCUAAUACCGCAUACGCCCUACGGGGGAAAGGGGGGGAUCGCAAGACCUCUCACUAUUGGAGCGGCCGAUAUCGGAUUAGCUAGUUGGUGGGGUAAAGGCUCACCAAGGCAACGAUCCGUAGCUGGUUUGAGAGGACGACCAGCCACACUGGGACUGAGACACGGCCCAGACUCCUACGGGAGGCAGCAGUGGGGAAUUUUGGACAAUGGGGGAAACCCUGAUCCAGCCAUCCCGCGUGUAUGAUGAAGGCCUUCGGGUUGUAAAGUACUUUUGGCAGAGAAGAAAAGGUAUCCCCUAAUACGGGAUACUGCUGACGGUAUCUGCAGAAUAAGCACCGGCUAACUACGUGCCAGCAGCCGCGGUAAUACGUAGGGUGCAAGCGUUAAUCGGA